CCAGCUCCACUCCUUCAACUUGUUGGAGUACUGGCCAACCUCAUGGAACCACAGCAUGGUUCUUCCAUCCCACCCUUAUCUUAUCAAGGAAACACACCUCAGUAUUCUUCAUAUGGUGGUGGAUACCAGAGUCGUAGUACAACAAAAAAAAUUGAUAUCCCAAAUGGAAGAAAUCAUUAUCUUUCGAAAGAUUCAAGGACGUUCGAGGAGUGACCAGUACCAUUGAAGACUUUGGUGAGCGAGGCAAGCAACCUACUUUGAUCAUGUUGAACCCAUAUUUGCAUUACACUUAGAAUUAUUUUUCAUGCAUAAAGUAUUUUUUACUAGUAUUGCUAUUAAGCAAAUUAGCUAGGGUUUUAGCUAUGCCCUAUGUGCUUGAUAUUGACACCCCUUUGACAUUCUUAUGCUAAGUAAAUUAGCUAGGGUUUAGCUAUGCUCUAUGUGCUUGAUAUUGACACCCCCCUUUGAUAAUACCCUGUGCAAGUUUGACAGUAAUGCUUAGCCAUGCUAGUCGCAUAAGUCAUAGAACUUGGGAAGAAUCUUUGUUACUCAUAAAUGUUUUACAAAAACCUAAGGGUGUCACUGAUGCCCAUGGUAUGAUUCUGAAAAUAAGGUUGUAUAAAUGGAGUUGAAGUGGAGAUUUAGUUAGGUGAUUGUGAUCUUUGACGAGAUAGUCAAAGAUGUUCGGUGGAUUAUAAAAAUUUAUGUAUAGUAAAUGAUCAUGGUGGUUAUUCUAUUGGCGGAUAAAUGGAUCUUCAAUAAACUUGAAGCAGUCUGGAUUUAGUUAGGCGAUUAUAAUCUUGAACCAAAUUUCAUGGUGGAUUGUAAGCUUUCGAUGCAUUUAUUUAGUUCAUUGUGAUCUUGGGGAGAUAGUCAAAGAUGUUCGGUGCAUUAAUUAAUCUUGGACAAUUUGGAUUUAGUUAGGUGAUUGUGAUAUUGAACCGUAUUUCAUGAUGAAUUAUGAGAUUUUAGGUGGAUUUAGUCACAUGAUUUAAUCUUGAGAAGAUAGUCUAAUGUUUGGUUGAUUAUGAGAUUUUAGGUAUGGUAGAUGAGCAUGGUGAUUAUUAUACUGGUGGAUAAAUAGAUCUUUAAUUUUGUUUGGACCAUUUAGGAUUUAGUUAGGUGGUUUAGAUCUUAAACCAAAUUUCAUGGUGGAUUAUGAGGUUUUGGUCGGAUUUAGUUAGGUGAUUGUGAUCUUGACGAGCUAGUAAAAGAUGUUUGGUGUAUUAUGUGAAUUUAGGUCUAGUAGGUGAGCAUGGUGGUUAUUAUAUCGAUGAAUAAGUAAAUUUUUAACAAACUUAAGAAAAAUUGGAUUUAGUUAGGCGAUUGUGGUCUUGAACUAAAUUUCAUGGUGAAUCACGAUAUUUUAGAUGGAUUUAGUCAGUUGAUUGUGAUCCGGAGGAGAUACUCAAAGAUGUUCAAUGGAUUAAUUAUCCUUCAAUAAUUUGAAUUUCGUUAGGCUAUUGUGAUAUUGAACUGAAUUUCAUGAUGAUUUGUGUGAUUUUAGGUGGAUUUAAUUAUGUUAUUAUGAUCUUGAGAAGAUGACAAAGGUAUUUGGUGGAUUUUAAGAUUUUAGGUCUAGUAUAUGUGAGCAUGAGGACUAUUAUAUUGGUGGAUAAAUAGACCUCUAAUUUAGUUUGAAACAAUUUAAAUUUAAUUAGAUGAUUGUGAUCUUUUAACCAAAUUCAUGGUGGAUUUUAAUGUUUGGGUUGGUUUUAAUUAGGUGAUUGUGAUCUUAACGAGAUAGUCAAAGAUGCUUGAUGGAUUAUGUUAGAACUUAUGUCUAGUAAGUGAGCACGGUGGUUAUUAUAUUGGUGGAUAAAUGGAUUUUUAGUAAACUUAGAGUAAUUUGGAAUUAGUUAGGCGAUUGUGAUCUUGAACCAAAUUUCAUGGUGAAUUAUGAGAUUUUGAAUGAAUUUAAUUAGUUGAUUGAGAUCUUGAGUGUCACAGCCUUAGAAUUGGUUGUAACUAGUUGCACAAGCACUCAUGCAUCAUGUAUAUAUUUAUGAAAGUUGAAUUGGGGAAAGCGGAAAGCCUCAGAAGUCUUUUAUAAAAAUGAUCAACACUAAAAAUUGUUUCAAAUAAACCCAAGAAAAUGUUCCUGUCAAGCUAUAAAAAUAUUGUCAAGAGGUAAAACUCAAACCAAUAUUUUUGGAGUCUCAGAAAUAUUUAUUUUGGGAAUUUGGAAUUAAUUCAAUAACUAUUUGAAUUGGAUUUAUAUUUAUUAUAUGUAUAAAUAUAUGUUUAUACAUAUAUUUAUUGGUUUGUGUAUAAAUAUAUUUAUUAAUUCAAUAACUUUUUUUAUAUGUAUAAAUAUAUGUUCAAUAAUUCUGAAAAUUGUUGUGUGGCUUUUAUAAGUCCACUUAGUUGACACAAUUAUUUUCAUGAAGUUUAAAAUUGAUUUAGUAUUUUACUAAAUUAGAAACAAAUGUCAGAAAAAUAGAAAACAGAAACAAAUAAAAAAAGGAAGCAGAGACUUACCUGAGGCCCACUUACCUGGUAGCCCAGCAGUUUCGGCCCAGCCCACCUUCUCCUUCCUGUCGUCUUCCUCCCCAGGCCAGUAGGCAGAGCGCGUGGCCGGAGCGCGUCGGCACACGCCCCGGCCACCUCCACCCUGCCUGCCUGCGUCCCCAUCGCUCUGGAUCUCUCCCGAGCGUCACGUGCCCCCCCUGCACCUCUCAGUCCCUCUCGAGCUCAUUCCCCCUCCUCUGCUCUCUCUCCCUCUCACGGCCGAACCCACCCUCGCCACCAUCGCCGACCACCGCGGCCACAGCCGUCCCCACGCCUCUCCGUGCUAUCCCCGCCGUCCGCCUCGAUGCCGUGAAGCUUCCCCCUCAACAAGCGCAAGCCCGAACGCCCUCAAACGCCGACCACACCGUCUUCUUCAACCUCGGUCCGCCGAGAUCGUCACCGCCGUUCCGCCUGCACCGGACCUCCCCCGAGCCUGCUGAGCACCCCGACGGCCUCGCCGUGAGCACCUCGUCGUUUCCCCUCUCCUCUCUUCCUCGUUUGCGUGCCGUAGCCGCACUAACCACCGGACCCGAGAGCUCAUCGCCGCCGUAGUUCCUCACCGCUGUGGCCAGGGCCACCCCAGCUUGCGCCUGAGCGCGUCACCGUGUUCGCUGCACUCCCAGGAGCCCGCAGCACCCUUCGGUUUCUCCUCUAGUGCACCGUAGCGUCGACCCCUUCCACGUCCGAACUCCGGCCACCGCGGAUGCGCUCGCCGUCGUCGAUUCCGGCGACCCCGCGCCCAACUCCGCCUCCUCUUGAUGCGGACGAGCAAGGGCUAUGCCCUGGUGCCCUCAGCGCGCUAACCCGACGCCUCUAGCGCAAAUCCGACGCGCCCCGCCGUGUUCUGUGGUCGCCGCCGGUUGAACUCCAGCGAGCCGACGUGGCCGCGUGAUUAGCGCUAAUCACCGCCAGCUAACCCUCCCCAGAGCCACUGACUACUGGGCCCCACGGCCUAAUUAACACUGCUUAGCUCCUGUUUAGACUAAACUAACCCCACGGGCCCACAGGUCAGUUUGACCUGGCCACGUCACCGUUGACCAGGCCCCACCUGUCAUUGACACUGAACAACAUUGUGUCACUGACCAGUGGACCCCACUGGUCAGGUUUGACCUAGACCGCUGCUGUUGACUUGCUGACGCAGGCAUGGCGCAAUGCCGACGCAAUAAGUCAUUUCUAGAUUAAAAAUAAUUCAGAAAAUUCCAGAAAAUUGCCUAAACUUCUAAAAAUCAUAGAAAUUCAACCGUAACUCCAAAUGAAAUAAAUUAUAUAUGAAAAAUGAUCAGAAAAAUCCAAUCUAUCCAUCUGUACCAUUUUCAUGCAUGUUAGAACAACUUAUGGCUGCUGUUUAGGCCAAAUCAUAUA